rnacentral:rRNA from 1 species
GUAGGUGGCAAGCGUUGUCCGGAAUUAUUGGGCGUAAAGCGCGCGCAGGCGGUUCUUUAAGUCUGAUGUGAAAGCCCACGGCUCAACCGUGGAGGGUCAUUGGAAACUGGAGAACUUGAGUACAGAAGAGGAAAGCGGAAUUCCACGUGUAGCGGUGAAAUGCGUGGAGAUGUGGAGGAACACCAGUGGCGAAGGCGGCUUUCUGGUCUGUAACUGACGCUGAGGCGCGAAAGCGUGGGGAGCAAACAGGAUUAGAUACCCUGGUAGUCCACGCCGUAAACGAUGAGUGCUAAGUGUUAGGGGGUUUCCGCCCCUUAGUGCUGCAGCUAACGCAUUAAGCACUCCGCCUGGGGAGUACGGCCGCAAAGGCUG